rnacentral:rRNA from 1 species
AGCUACAGGCUUAACACAUGCAAGUCGAGGGGCAGCAUGUGGUUGCUGCAACCGAUGAUGGCGACCGGCGCACGGGUGAGUAACGCGUAUCCAACCUUCCCUAUAGUAGAGGAUAGCCCGGCGAAAGUCGGAUUAAUACUCUAUGUUGUUCAAUGCAGACAUCUAAGUUGAAUCAAAGGUUCACCGCUAUAGGAUGGGGAUGCGUCUGAUUAGGUAGUCGGCGGGGUAACGGCCCACCGAGCCAUCGAUCAGUAGGGGUUCUGAGAGGAAGGUCCCCCACAUUGGAACUGAGACACGGUCCAAACUCCUACGGGAGGCAGCAGUGAGGAAUAUUGGUCAAUGGGCGAGAGCCUGAACCAGCCAAAGUAGCGUGCAGGAUGACGGCCCUAUGGGUUGUAAACUGCUUUUAUACAGGGAUAAAGUCGGGGACGUGUCCCCGUUUCGUAGGUACUGUAUGAAUAAGGACCGGCUAAUUCCGUGCCAGCCGCCGC